GAUGAAGAACGUAGCGAAAUGCGAUAAGUAAUGUGAAUUGCAGAAUUCAGUGAAUCAUCGAAUCUUUGAACGCACAUUGCGCCCCCUGGUAUUCCGGGGGGCAUGCCUGUUCGAGCGUCAUUUCACCACUCAAGCCUCGCUUGGUAUUGGGCAACGCGGUCCGCCGCGUGCCUCAAAUCGACCGGCUGGGUCUUCUGUCCCCUAAGCGUUGUGGAAACUUUCGCUAAAGGGUGUUCGGGAGGCUACGCCGUAAAACAACCCCAUUUCUAAGGUUGACCUCGGAUCAGGUAGGGAUACCCGCUGAACUUAAGCAUAUCAAUACGCGGAGGA
rnacentral:misc_RNA from 1 species